CCUAGGGGAGGCAGCAGUGAGGAAUAUUCCACAAUGGGGGAAACCCUGAUGGAGCGAUACCGCGUGCAGGAAGACGCUUUUCGGAGUGUAAACUCGCUUUUAACAGGGAAGAUUAUGACGGUACCUGUAGAAUAAGGACCGGCUAACUACGUGCCAGCAGCCGGG
rnacentral:rRNA from 1 species